GACGAACGCUGGCGGCGUGCCUAAUACAUGCAAGUAGAACGCUGAAGCGAGGAGCUUGCUCUUCUUGGAUGAGUUGCGAACGGGUGAGUAACGCGUAGGUAACCUGCCUUGUAGCGGGGGAUAACUAUUGGAAACGAUAGCUAAUACCGCAUAACAAUGGAUGACACAUGUCAUUUAUUUGAAAGGGGCAAUUGCUCCACUACAAGAUGGACCUGCGUUGUAUUAGCUAGUAGGUGAGGUAAUGGCUCACCUAGGCGACGAUACAUAGCCGACCUGAGAGGGUGAUCGGCCAAACUGGGACUGAGACACGGCCCAGACUCCUACGGGAGGCAGCAGUAGGGAAUCUUCGGCAAUGGGGGCAACCCUGACCGAGCAACGCCGCGUGAGUGAAGAAGGUUUUCGGAUCGUAAAGCUCUGUUGUAAGUCAAGAACGGGUUUGAGAGUGGAAAGUUCACACUGUGACGGUAGCUUACCAGAAAGGGACGGCUAACUACGUG
rnacentral:rRNA from 1 species